AAACAUGUCUUUUUGAAAAUAAUUUAAAGUCUAAUCUGCCCACUGAUNAAAUUAUUAAAGGGCUGCAGUAUUUUGACUGUACAAAGGUAGCAUAAUCAUUAGUCUCUUAAUUGGUGACUUGUAUGAAAGAUUGGAUGAGAUAUAUACUGUCUCUAUUUAAUUUAUAAAAUUUAAUUUUUUAGUAAAAAAGCUAAAAUUAUUUUAAAAGACGAGAAGACCCUAUAGAGUUUUAUAAUUUAUUUAAUUAUUAUUAAUAUGUAAAUUUUAAAAUUAAAAUUAAAUAAAUUAUUUUGUUGGGGUGAUAGAAAAAUUAAAUUAACUUUUUUUUUAUUGUAUACAUUAAUUUAUGGAUAAAUGAUCCAUUAAUAGUGAUUAAAAGAAAAAAUUACCUUAGGGAUAACAGCGUAAUUUUUUUUUUUAGUUCAAAUAGGAAAAAAAGUUUGCGACCUCGAUGUUGGAUUAAGAUAAAAUUUAAAUGCAAAAGUUAAAA
rnacentral:rRNA from 1 species